UGCAAAAUCACUAGGUAGCCUAUCCCAGGACGGAGUUUUCUUAUGAAAUACUUCAAGCCUUCAGGCCCCUGGUAACAGAGAAUAACAAAACCUAACACACUCCCCACAAGCCACCACGCAGCAACCUCAUGGGGCUCAACGUUUUACUCAACUGGCCCCCAACCAUUUCUAAUCCUACACAAAUCACAGCAGAGUUUCUCCAGCAGGGACGCUACAGGCGCAGCUCCGUGUGCGGUUCACAGCCGACCACCCUCGGACAGCCCCCAGCUUCCCUGGGGAGGGUCCCGAACCCUCCCGCCGGCCCGCCCCGCCCCCACCCGCGCGCCUCGGCGCUGACGUCACCGGCGCUCACGAGGCGAGGCCGAGCCACCGCCCGAGGAGUCACGCGGAGGCGCCCCGCCCCCACCCGCCGCCGGCAGUGAUGCGCCCUCCGCAGAGAUCCCUCCGCCGCCGCCUCCUGGAAUUUUCCAGACGCUCUGCCGGCCCUUCUUUCGGGCUUGUGCGGGGCCGGGUGACCUGAGGCGACCCCAGCGUUUCGGUCGGCCCCCUCGGGAGUGCGGCCCCAGCCCGCUUCCCGCACGCUGCCCCCCCGUUUCAGGGAGCGCUGUUCCUACGCUCUCAUCCCCCAAGAAGGAAGAGGGGGCUUCUCCCGCACGGAAAUCGCAUCCCCAAUGUGACCUUGAAAUUUUUUCCCGCGUGUCACGAAGCACUGCUAAAGGGGAACCGCGAGUAACCGGGGAACCCAGAUGGUGGACACGGGGGAGGCGGAGGAGGGGGGAGACAGAGACCCGCCCGAGUCGUCUCCUUGGGCAGGGUCGGGGAGGGACUUUUUUCCCCCCGUGGCGGUGGAGGAAUCGUCCCGUUGAGUAAUGCCCCCGAGUGACGCGGCACGGGGCUAUAAAAGCAAAAGUUGUGGCCUGUCCAUCAGGAGUCAGCGACAGGGAGGGCCGUGGCGUGGGGUUUAGUGGUGGGGAGGAAGUUGCCAGUUUAGGGCCUCAGGGGACAGAUGGGGGAGAUGACAGAUGAGACUGAAGGGGUUUGGGGUACAAGGACAAGGAAGGCUAAAGAGGAAGCUAGACCUUGGGGAAACUAUGGUGGGGAGAGUUGCGUUGACAGCUACCGCAGUGACCCAGCGGAGGACAGCCCUUCAGGCUGGACUGUCGCUGCCUUCUGGAGAAGGGGAACUUGACCUCUAGGAGGGCGCUGCCCUGUGUGGCCCCAGCGAGCCCCAGUGUCCUGGUUUGUGUGGGAGGAGGAAGGCAGAAGCGAGAGGAGACAGGAUCUCGCCACCCUUGCUGGAGAGGAAGCGGAACUGGGCAGUUGAUGCCAGGAGAACGAUCAGGAAGGAAGGCAGUGGGUUGUAGGGCUGCAGGUGGGCUGGGAGGGCAGACCUUGAACUUGUCAAUACCAGCAGCCCCCUUUUCUUUCAGAAGGCUGCGACCCCGCGUGGGGAUGAGGCCUGGUCUUGUGGAAACUGAACUUAGCUUGGCGGGGCUGACCGCUCUGGCCCAGGGUGGUAUGUAAUUUUGGUUCGGCCUGGGACAGGGUCCCGGCCGUGGCCAGCCUGGUGGAACCCGGGUCUGGGUGUGAGGCCAGACCCCUUGUUGGAGGCGAGGGUGGUCUCCGGAGUGAUUGAGGAGGCAAGGUGCCAUCUAAACAGUUAAUUGGUGUGGCGCCUGAUGUCUGACAGGCUGGGGCUGCUGAGGCAGGAUGUUUGUGUGUCUGUGGACAAAAUUGACCCACACUUUAUUUUCCAGGUGUCAGUGCUCCCCUUUGGACUUUUCCUCUAGGUUCGGUGCUAACUUCUGUGAGCUCACUCUGCUCCUCCUCCUCCUAACUUUCUUGAGGUUAUCCAUUCGCUUAAAACAUUGCUUCUGGUAACCUGGUAAGCCUGGGAAAGUUGCCGAAGGCCCUGAGAAAUUCGGUUGUGUUGGUAAUCGUGAAGGAGGAAAGGCCCUCCCUGCUGAGACUCGGGGUGGGAUGGGGUGGUGGUGCUUGCCUGCAGAGAGGGUGGGGAUCGGAUGUGUACCUUGGGUGGGCCUGCAGUAAGGGCACCAGCUGGAAGUUUACAGAAUGCCUCAUGGACCAUGGUUUGUUACUGUAGUGUUCAUCGUGGUGAUCAGAUGGCACCCAGGAGAAAUGGAGCCCCUGGCCAGUGUGAGUCAUAGCAGUGCAGGAGGGGAGACCCUGAAGGAGAGAGCCCGCCUAAAUUGAUGUCUGCAGAUGGAAUUUCCAGAGGCUUAGGAGGUGGAAGUUCUCCGAUGUCCCGUUUCCAGGCCUUGCUCAGGAAGCCCUGUAUUCAGGAGGCUGUUUAAGGUUUUCAGAUGAGCUUAUGAGGGGUCAAUCAUUAAAAGUCCAAAGCAGAUGCAUCGGGCCAUCCGCAGAUGUGUUGCAUUGAUUGAUCCGGGAGCGCCAACCUCCAGGCAUGUGGAUGCCAGCAGGCACCCCUCCUUUCCUGGGGUGGAGGUUUUCAGAUGCUGCAUCUUCUAAAUUGAGCCUCCAGUCAUAACUGGUUCUGGGCUACGAACUUUGCUUCAAGAAGAUUCUUAAGCUGUAGGACGUUUUAACAUGCCACAAGCAGAGGGAUGCCUUGUAGAUGAAUCUUGCAGACGGAGCCCAGUGACCCUCUCACCUGCCCGCCCGCCCGCCCGCCCGCCCGCCAGCCCGCCAGCCUGCCUGCCUGUGCGUUGGUUGGAGGAAUUAGUGUGAUGGUUUAACCUGUAUUUUGGGAAAGUGUUCACAUUUGAAAUGCCUUAGGCGAUACUUAAAUGAAGCAUACUGGCAAAUUGGGGGGGCGGUUAUUGUGUUAUGCUACAGUCUUGGGGGUAGAAGUUGGUUGUGGCCAAAUUCUGUUAGAAAUGGCAGGUCUAGUUUGGGCCUUUCAAUUGCAUUGCAGGUAACUAAGCGAAGGGAGAAUAGCUGGGGUACUGUUAUCUUUGAUUCUUCUAUGUAUUUUUUUAAUGUGAAUUUUGUUUGAUGUAGUUUUCAAAGUAAUCUUUAAAUGGGAGGACCCUGAGGUGUGAGAGGUGGGGGUGGGGCACACCUUGACUUGGUACUGGGAGGGGUGGGGGUAAGGAAAGGGAGAGGGUUGGGUUUAGGUAUAUGCUGCAGAGGGUGGGGGUGGUAGGGAAUGUGGGUUGAAAGGAAUUCUGGCAAAAAAAGGUCAAGUAGAGCUCUGGGGAAUAUAACAGACAACUGGGCAAAGAAAGUACUAGUUAAUGCUGGUUAAAUUGUCUCUUGAAAGCACAAAAAUUGCUUAGAAACUUUAAAAAGUCCUUUAGAAAUCUGCUAAAUGCAGGGAAAGCAAAAUUUGCUUUGCUGCUAGGUGGGGAAGACUGAAAAGCUGUAAUUGAACAGGAAUGCCCAUCUCUUGAAAGUGGGGGAGGGGUACAGAAAUUCACACCGGCUGAGUAAUAACCUUCACUGCUUCACUAGCUUCUUCAGUGGUUUAUGUGAAGGUGUACAGUCAGUGUUGGAGCUAGAAAUUUUAGGAAAGACUAAAUGCCCGAGUUGUAAGCUUUUAAAGUACUUAAAUUUUAAAAAAAAGUAAAUUUAAAAUUUUGGUGUGCACUUGAGAUUUAGAUGUACUCUUAACAGGUUUAUAACGUUUCUAUUUACUGAGAUUUUGUGAUUGAAAAUUUUGAGCAAAAUGAAAAUGCAAUGGCUUUUAAAGGAACUUUGUUUUAUAAAAUCUCUCCUCUUUGUGGUCUGUAUUAAGAGCAAAGUAAAAAUUGUUGCUAUUACCUUAGUUCUUGUAACAGAAUAACUUUUUUGUGGUCCCUGUAAUACUUGGUAGCAAACAAUCCAUGUACCCUUACAGAGGUUAGUGUUAACCGAUUGUAUCUUUAAUUUGAAUGUUUGCUUUUUUUGCGGGGCAACUCUCAAGUCAAAAUCAGUUUGGGGAAUAAACAAAAUGGGCGGUGGGGGGGUUGGGGUGGGGAACCUAUACUUGAUGUGGUCUGUUUUUAAAAAUUCAGAGAAGGAUCUGAAAAACCAUUUAUGGUGAUUCUUGUUUUUGAGAUGCAUUUAUUGAAUUGGUGAGGUAAUAACCAGUGGCUUUUGAUCCUGUUCCUCUUCCCCUUAAAUUCAAAUUUAAAUUUAAACUCCCCAGUAUAAGCCUUUGGGAUUUCUGUCUUCUGGGUUCUUUUUUAAUGUUUAGAAAUCUGUUGGUAUAGUCCAGCUUUUAAUCGGUGACUUGGGUACGAUGAAACUGCUGUCCUAGGAAUUUAAAGAGUAUUGGUCAUGUCUGUAUGGGGAAAUAUGUAUGGGUGUAUUGGUUCGAGUACUUCUGUGUUGCUCUGUCAGAAAAACUAGCUCUCUGUUGCAUCAUGUAUGGGAUUACUAAUCAUUUUCUUCCCCUCUUUACAGCACAAAUAAAGGUUUGAGUUCUAAACUCGUUAAUUGUUGUAUUGGUAUGUUACGUUUUUUGACCUUUAUCUUUUCUGUAAACCAAGUUAUCUUUAAUGAAGUUGGAUGUAUUUUUCUUACUGUAGAUUUAGGCUGUGAUUUGCUCUUUAGGAGCUUUAAAUAAUUGAGGUCAUUUAGUGGAGCGUGGUAACCUCAAACAGAACUGGGAUGUCUUGAAUGGUAUGGAGCCUGGUGGAUGGCAAUGGGGGCUCCUCCGCUCACUGUCGGGGUGUCUAAUGGUUGUGCAAAAUGUGCUGCUGAACCUGACAGCUGGUGAAGGUCCGUGUCAAGGUGCUGGGGGCAUACUUUGUAAUAUCCUGGAACUUUAACUGGUUAGAUUUCCAAAUGGUGUUGUCAGAAAGGGGGCCUAUCAUUGCUUAGGGGAAAACGUAUGAAGAAUACAACACGUGUAAUACAUGUUUUCCGUAUUUGUGGUGUGGGGGAGGCUGGAAUGGAACUGGGUGUGGGUCUAAGCACAUAAUUCUCUACUAAAGAGUUUGGUUUGGCUCUUUAUUGGGUGACACAAGAGUUUGGGCUCGUGUGUACCUGCUGCGUGAAGCAGGCCAAGGUUAUGCAGAGGGCAUGAGAAGCAGCUCUUGGAAGCAGUUUGCCUCUUGACUCUGAAUUGUGUUUCCUGGGUGGGGAGGUGGUGGUAGCUCCAUCCGGGGAGCAAAGUCCUGCUGCUCUGGUGCCUUUACCCGUGGGCCCUAAGGUUUUGCCUCACAGGAGACAGACUUCGGGCUCAGACUAGAAACUGCCACCAGGCUCUGUGAAGAAGGCUUUUGUUUUGGAGGGAGCUGAAAGGGAAGCUCGCCUUUGAAGGGGAGCUAAGACCUGAAUUGGGAACAGAUGAGCACUGUGACCUAAACGGGGGGGGGGGGGGGGGAGCUUGGCCUGAAGAAUUCCUCCAGGAGAGCAGCUGUGGGACUGGCUGUCCCCUCAGUCCUUGCAUCCAGGUGGCCUGCUUGUGGGUCCUCAAGAACCCUGAUGCGCCUGCUUCCAAGAACCUGGAGUUGGGUGCUGGGGAGGAGGAAGGGGCCUAUUGUGGGGGAGGUCAUGGCGCUGCUGUGAGUGGGGGCCGCUGCUUGUGGGUUUGGGGAUCCUUUCCCUGCUUGCCACUCUGGUUCUUGAUCCCCCUGGAACAACCUAGGUCUCCUUUCCUACUUAACUCUUCUCUCUGCUUUGUACCCCAGCCCUCCCCCAUCCGCCCUGCCCUUUAUGCCAAACUGGUUCCUCCUCAUUUUUUACAUGGUGAUUAUGAAACUCUUGCUUCCAGCCUUGAGGGUAACUGCUAUAAAUGCCUUUCUAAAUGUCACCGUUUCCUAGCAACUGUGAUGGGCUGAUAAAGAAUUUCCAUAAGGGUGUAAAUGUUUGCCAUUGGCUGAGAGCAGGCAGCUGAAGGCCUCCUAGCCUCCACCCAAUCCAGGGGCGCCUGUGAUGGUCAGUGAAAGAGAUUUCUACCUGUCUAUGUGCACUUACUCUCAGGUCAAGUGGGAUGGGUUGCAGCUGUGGAUGGCUGUGUUGGUGAUUUUUGCUAAUCAGUUUGCAUUCUGGUGCAUAAAAUUGAGCCUUCACUCUUGAACUCCCACAGGCAGUGGAUGAUACGGUGAAAUCCAUUAGGUAGCAAAUGGUGAUCUGGUGCAAAGUAAAAGUGAUGGGGCAUAAGGAUAGCAAAAAGCGCGUUUGGAAGUCCUCUGAAAAAGGACAAUAGCCUGAGAGUGAGUAUGGGUGGAGGCUCCUCUGCGGGCCCAGGUUGGACACUGCGGGAGUGGUCGGCGUCACAAAGGGGAUUGGACCCUAACGGCCCCCUAUUCCGCCCUGUCAGCCGCCCUUGGUUUGUGUCAUUGACCAUGGACAUUAAGGGACUUGUAGGACCUUUUAUGCCGAACCUUGCCUCCGUGUGUCGCUAAGUCUCUGGCGGAAAUGUUAACCUCUGGUCUCGUGCAGUGCUUUUUAUUGUGCGGUGCUGAUACUAAAUGAAAUGCAAAAACAGGCUUACGGAUUCUUGUAUGUUUUAAAUGUUCAUAUGUAUGUAUACAGAACUAUACUGAUGCAGUCUGGAAGUGUCAAGAGGAAGGUAGCCAAACAACCCAAAACAAAAAUUUGUGAAGGUGUAUGUCCCCGGGAGCGUGGCCUUUACCUUGCUGUGGUGGGUGUCCCCUCCACUACCUUUUGGCCACUGGGUAGGACAGUGCCUGCUCUGCUGGGGGCCUCCACCCUCCAGGCCGCCCAGCUCUGUACCUCCUUCCCUCUCUUUUAACUAACUCUUAACUGAGUUCUCGUAUAUAAAAAGGGUUUAUCGUGGGGUUCACAAAUAAAAUUGGAAAAAAACAAAAUCCUCAGUAAUCAUCUGUUACUGGCAUAUUUGCUUCUAGAGGUUUCUUUCUUCCUAUGCAUAGGAUAUGCAUUUUUUUUUAACAAAAAUGGGAUUAUACUGUAAAUUGUUUUGCAGCUCCUUUCACUUAACAUAUAGUGAACCUCUUUUCCUGUCAUUCGAAGCAUCUUUUGUGGUGGUGAGGUACUCCACUGUGUGGCUGUAUCAGUUUAAACAAUCUCCUUUAGAUGACAUAAAUUAUUUUCCAGUUGGUUUUUUUUCUCUCAGGUAGUAAAGCUGUGAUAACCUUCCCUGUAACUCACACUUUCUCUGAAGUCAUCUGAUAUGACUUCUUUGGGAUACGUGAAUAUAUGAAAUGCCUGUGUCAAACUUAGGACUUAAGAUUCAUUCAUGGUGCUGAGUAGCCCUCCUGAGAGGGGUUUUUUAAAUUUGUUUUCUCACAUUGAUGUAAACCUGGCUGUUUACCCUUUUCCAUAGAACAGGUAUUGCCAUGUUAAAAACCUUAGAUCCUGGGGCGCCUCGGUGGCUCAGUCGUUAAGCGUCUGCCUUCGGCUCAGGUCAUGAUCCCAGGGUCCUCGGAUCGAGUCCCGCAUCGGGCUCCCUGCUCGGCGGGGAGUCUGCUUCUCCCUCUCCCACUCCCCCUGCUUGUGUUCCCUCUCUUGCUGUGUCUCUCUCUCUCAAAUAAAUAAAAUCUUAAAAAAAAAAAACAAAAAACUUAGAUCCUUGGGGGGAUCCAGGCUACUUUACUGGGGUGUUGCUUUGCUGCUGCUGAGACUGAACGUCUGUGUGGAUUGGCCAUCGGCAAUGGUGUGUGUGAUUCUGUGUGUGUGCACGUGUGUGUGCACGUGUGUGUGUGCGCGCGUGCGCAAGUACACACAAGCUUCGGCUUCCUGAUCGUUUUCCUAUUGGUUAUUUUGUAAAAGCACUUACAUGUUAAGGCUAUUAAUAACCUAUGUUUGAUGCAAAUAUUUUUCCUGGUUUUAUAGAUUGCCUUUCAUUUUGCUUAUUGUGUUUCAGACACACACAAGUGAUACCGGUUUUCUGAGGUCAUCACUCUUUACAGUUUCUGUACUUGGCGUUGUGCUUAGAUCUCUCCCACCCCAGAAGUAUAUAAAUAUUCUAUAUUGUGACACUUAUGGUUCAUUUUUUACAUUUACACACGGGCUGCAGCUGGAGUUCAUUGUGCCGCCUGGGGGCGGGGGCUGAUGCGCUCUCAGAGCCGCCGGAGCUUGCUCUCCUCCCAGUGUCGGCCUCCCUGGGGCUCCAUGAUGGAGUGAGUGGCAGAGUCCUGUGGGCCAUGAGGGUUGUUGUCACAAUGGAGAGGACCGUGGGGACAGGCUGGUAUGGUCUCCUAGUGGGGUCCUGGUUGUUGCUCCCCCCUGGCUCCCCAUUUCGCCAUCCUAAUUGUUUGGGACCUAUGGCAAACCCCCUCGGGGCGGGGUGUCAAAAGCAGGUACACAAAGAUGGAUCUGGGUUCUACUGACUUGGCUACUCAGCAGCUUUACGAACCAGAACAAGUUACUUAAGCCCACCCAUCAAGCCUGCUUCCCUCAUCUGCGCCGUGACGGUAAAGGCAUGGGCGUGUUGGGCACACGCGGGUGGCGGUGCAGCCUUCCUCUCCUUUAUUGCCCAGCCUCAGGGCCGACCCCUUGGUCCCGGUGCCCUGUCCCUGCCCUCUAGGCACCUGCCUGCCUUGCUCUGAGCCUCUUAGGGAACGACAGUCAGUGUGCAUAAUCUGGUCUGUUCUGGUCUGUUCUGGUCUUGCAUUUAAUUUUGUUUCCAUCCACAUCUCCCUGUAUCAGCGGAAUCCACAAACAGAUUGGAAGUGGCUUUUUCUCCGGGUGGUUGGUUCUCCCACAAGAAUGCCACAGAUGGGCUUCUAGAGGUCUGUGAAUGCUCAAACUGCUUGCUGAAGAAGUCCAUGAUCUCAAAAAAGAUCAAAUGAACAACUGCAUUAUUUUAUCCCACAGCGCUUAGGCUGUAGGAUGUGUAGUCAAGUCUCUUAAGUUGUAAGCAGUGUUUUGACUAUUUUAGAUGGCGCCUGCUGUGAGCAUCUCUAUGAAUUUGGUGUCCCGUUUGUUCCCCAGAGUGGCGUUGCUUGGUCCGUGAGUGUGUGUGGUUUUACAGCUCUUGUCACAGACUCAGAUACUCAGAUACUCUCCGGAAAGCUUACAUUUCCUCUUGUGAGUAUAUCCCUUUCCCCACAUAGUUGCCAACGUCAGGUUUUUUAAAUGGUGGUAAAAUACACGUAACGUAAAAUUUAUCUUCUUAAUCAUUUUUAAGUGCAACGGUUGAGUAGAGUUCAAUUUAUUGUUGUGCAACCAAUCUCUAGAACUUUUUCAUCUUGCAAAACUGAAAUUUUAUACCCAGUAAACUCCCCAUUCACUUAUCCCUUUAGCCCCUGGCACCCGUCAUUCUGUUUUUCUCUCUCUGAGUUUGACUACUCUAGGUACCUCGUGUUAAGUAGAAUCAUAAAGUAUUUGUCUUUUUGUGACUGGCUUAUUUUACUUGGCAUAACGUCCUCAAGGCUCAUCUGUGUUACAGCGUGUGUCAAAAUUUUCCUCCUCCUUAAAGGAGUUGAAACAAAGGCGCCUGGCUGGCUCAGUCCGUACGGCGUGCAACUCUUGAUCUCGGGGUCGUGAGUUUGAGCCCCAGGUUGGGCGUAGAGAUGACUUUAAAUAAAUAAGCGAGCGGAAGCAUAUUCCAUGGUAUGUAACAUCUUAUUUAUCAUCUGUCAGUUAACACUUGGGUUCCUCCACCUUUUUGGUUAUUGUGAAUAAUGCUGCUUUGAACAUGUGUGUACAAAUACCUUUGGAAACCCUGCUUUCAUUUCUUUGGGCGAUACACGCGGAAGUGGGAUUGCUGGAUCAUACGGUAUUUCGAUUUUUUAUUUUUGAGGAGCCACACAGUUUUCCAUAGCAGCCGCGCCACUGUACAUCCCCAGCAGUUUGCAAGAAUUCCGAUUUUCCACAUUGUCACCAACACUUGUUCCCUGUUGCUGUUUGAAAUAGCGGCCAUCCUACUGGGUGUGAAGUGCUGUCUGCUUGUGGUUUUGAUCUACAUUUCCGUAAUAAUUAGUGAUGUGGCGCAUCUUUCUAUAGGAUUGUUGGCCAUUUGUAUGUCUUGUUUGGAGAAAUAAUCUUUUCAAGUCCUUUGCCCAUUUUUAAAACUGGGUUAUUUUUUUAUUGUUAUUGAUUGGUAGUUCUUCAAAUAUAUUUUAGAUAUUAACCCUUUAUCAGAUCUGUGAUUUACAAAUAUUUUCUCUCAUUGUGUAUGUUGCCUUCUCAGUCUGUUGAUGGUGUCCUUUGAUGCCCAGAAGUUUUUAAUUCUCAUGUAGUCCAGUUUAUCUUUUUUUUAAUUUUGUUACCUGAGCUUUCCAAGAAAUCAUUGCCAAGUCCAAUGUUAUGAACUAUUUAUUGCUACUUUUAAAAGUACUUCGGUAGUCUUAAUCCAUAUUUUUGAACUUAAUGGUUAGUCUGUUUUACCAUUUGAUUUACCACCUGCCUUUUCCUCUUUGACCACUUACCAUAUGAAAUUCCAUAUUGAUUUUCAUAAUGAUCGUGAGGUUCUUUGUUCACUUCAGAAGGUAAGCUUUUGCCAGUUAUGUUUGUCAAACUUACUCUGUUUUGUCCCUUUUAUUGUUGGUGCAAAAAGUAUCUAUCACACAAGGACUGUUAAAACAUUCAUCUACCAAGUCUAGUGAUAACUAAUAAGUCUGUUGGUUUUGCUUCUGAUUAGUUUUUCUUUAGUAUCUAAAUAUGUAUGUACUCUCAUGGUUUAAUAAGUACUCGUCACCAUUUAAGGAGUUAUGAAUCCAACUUAGGAGUGGAUCUAAAUUAAUUCUACUUAUAAAGUUGAAAUGUCAAACUUUUAUUGAGCAAACACUAUCUUUGUUUUGUUCCAGGUCAAUAUUAGUGUCUUACGAUCAUCUGCCUGAAUCUGUUUCUGGAGUUUUUAUCCUUUAGUUUUUGUUGCUUCUAAUCAAAUACAGCAAAUUUUAAUGACUGUCACUGUUCAUUAUGUUUAGUAAAUGGAGACUCUGCUACUCUUUUUUUGACUCUGCUACUCUUUUUUUUUUUUUUUUUUAAAGAUUUUAUUUAUUUAUUCAUGAGAGACAGAGAGACAGAGAGAGAGAGGCAGAGGGAGAAGCAGGCUCCCAAGGAGCAGGAAGCCCGAUGCGGGACUCGAUCCCAGGACCCUGGGAUCAUGACCUGAGCCAAAGGCAGACGCUUAACCAUCUGAGCCACCCAGGCGCCCUGACUCUGCUACUCUUAAAGCAAGAAUAUUCUCUCCCUGUUGGAACUCAAGUACACAAAACUGGGUUAAUCUUUGGUUCAUGAUAUAACAUGGCUCUUUUAUUUGCUACAUUGAUGUUUUUAAUAAUGUGGUAAGCAUUUCUGAAUCUUCUGUUCAGUAUGAAAACUAGGACUUUAGACAGUAGCUUCCUCUACCUAUGAGGUCGUGCCCGCCCCUGCCAUCUCCUGCCAUCUCCCUGCCUCCCUCUAGGCCAGCGUAUCAUCAUCCUGAAUACUGGGUUUACCUUUACUUGCUUUCUUUUCGUGUAACUCUAAAAAAAAAAAACCUACCUCAGUGUGUUUCUUGAGGAAGGUCCAGGUAUUCACAGCCCCUCGGGGACAGCACAGCACAGUCGCUCUCCCUCCUGUGCUGUCUGGGUCUGAGACUGCCCAUUUAGCACAAAACAAGAAUGGACCUAACAGACUUACAGUCUCCUGGUGCUCUUUCCCCUAAGCAGGUCCUAAACUAUUCUAGGACACCAGUUGUGACCUGGGCAGAAAGCAGCAUUUAACUAUAUCUUAUUUGUUGGUUGGUGUGGUCUGUUGAAAUCUCGCCUGGCAUCCAGCUGUAGGCAUUUCUGAUCCUAAGUGGAAAAGGAUUGCACUCCGGCGGGGCACAGUCCGCUCUCUCUCCCACCCUUCUGCUCAGAACUGCCUCUCAGAGGCCACCAAAUGCCAGGAACACAGUUGGGAACCUGGCUCUGUCUCUUACUCGCCUAAUAGGGUCACAGAGAGCUUAACAUUGGGAAUCCCAAGGCCCAGGAUCUGCCCCGGCAGCCUUAUUCUUGCCCCCUUAGCCUCUGGGGUAAUCGGUACACUGUCCCCCUGACUCCUCUGUUAUGUAACAGUCGUGUGACCAGCAGUCUGUGUGUCAAAGCAAGGCCCUGCCCCUGCCCCAUGCUGACCCCAACGGCAAGGCUCUGCUAGUUUUCUUCCGAUUUAUUUCAAGGCAUAAAAAAUGUUCAAAGUAAUACCUGCAUGUGUUAAAAAUUCAAACCCUGUAAAGGGGAUAGAGUGACAUCUUUCUCUAACCCCCAGCCUCCCUUCCCACAGGGGCAACUAUUGUGGCCAGUUGCUGGUUCUUUCUGGAGAAUCCUGUGUACGUAUUUCCCUAUGGAGGUCCUGCUACACCACACACCCUGUCUUGUCCUUUGGAUUGUUCAGUUAACAACAGGACAUCAAGGAGCUCACUGCAUAUCUCUUUUUUGGUCUACCUUGGGCUUUUUCCACAUCUGUGUGAUAGUCCAUGUUUGAAUUAACCCAUUUCCCUUUGGGGGAACAAUUAGAUUGUUUCUAGCAAGUUUUACUGUGUAUAAGGCUAUACUAAAUAUGGGUCUACAUGGUUCUUGGUGUACAUGGGCAACCAUGCCUCUGGGGAAAGCCUUCUAUACAGGAGGAUUCUGGGUCACGGUCCAUGUGUCUUUCCAAACAUGAUGGGCAUUGCCCACCUAUGUACACGGUGCUUAACACGGUCCUUAAGUUGUUCUGGUUGAUGUUUCCCUACACCUUUACCAACACUGUAUUCUUAAAUUUGGUUGUCAGUGUGAGAAGUGAAAAUAGUAUUUCACUGUAGUUUUGACUUCUAUUUCUGUCGGGCUGUGUGCUUACGGAUUUUCAAGAGCUUUAUAUAUUGAAGAAAUGAACCCUUUGUCAUUUGUGCUGCACGUACUUUCCUGAUUGUCCUUGAUCUUGAUUUUACGUUUCGUGCUAAAGAUUUGCUGUUCAGGGUUUUAAAUACACUUAAAGUUAUUUAUCAAUGUUUUCUUUUAUGGCUUCUGGGUUUUAGGACUCAGGUUGCCAAGUACCCUCCUUAAAGACGGGCACACCUCCGCCUUCCCCAGCCCGCCAACAGCUAUGGUUCCCUGCAGCCCUGCCCUGGCCAUUUUGGGGUUUAUCUUUGCUGAUUGGAAGGCAGAUCCAGCAUCUCCAUGUGUCAGUUUGCACUUUUUGAUUCUGUGAAGUUGAAUCUUGUUGGCUGACGUGUGUGUCUGCUUUGUGCUUCACUUACAUUUUCAUUUCCCGAGAGCUCUUUACUUGAGGACAUUGACCCUUGUAUAUUACAGAACAUUUUUCAAGUUUAUAGUGUGCCUUUCUUUUCUCUUUUUCCUUUCUUGAGUGUAGUUGACACACGACGUGACAUCGGUUUCAGGUUGUAGUUUGUCUUUUAAAUGUACAGGUUGGAUCUUGCUGAUGGUUUUAAGUUUUGUCAUCAAAUCUGUUGUUACCAUCAUGGUUUCAUACUUUGAUGUUAAUGCUGUAUUUCCCACUGGUUUCUUUGUGCUUUCAUUUUUGACAUUUGACGUAACUCUUUAAUCCAUCUAGAAGUUGUUUGGGUGUUUGUACAGUAUGAGGUGAGAAUCUAAAGAUUUCAAGAUGGGCUAACCGAUUUCCCAGUACCACUUCCUGAAUAAUGCUUUCUCUACUGAUGCGAAAUGGCAUUUGUUAGUUAUGGACUAAAUACUUUAAUAUAAUUGAGUCUAUUUCUGAACUUUCUGGUCUUCCACCAGUUUCUUUCCUCUGCCAGCCCAAUGUUUUCGUAUGUUAGCUUUAUCCUAUCUGAUUGUAAUAUGUGCUGAUACCAUCCCCUGACAUUCCUUUUGAAGGUAUUCUGAUUUUUACUGGAAUUGCAUUACAUUUAUCAAUAUAUUAUGAUAUCGAGACAUCCCAUUUAGGAACUGGCCUCCCUGUUCAUUCAGGAUAGGAUGAUUUUCAUGUCCCUCAGGAAUUUGAGACUUGUACAAGUUAUGUACAUUUAUGAAGUUUGCUUCUAGAAAUGUUAUAUUCUGUGUUGUGGUUAGAUAUAUUUUUCUAUUAAAAUUUCUGAUUAAGGUAGCAUAUGGUAAGACUUGUAUAUAUAUGUUAUUUUGAAAAUAAAUAUGCUGAUUAUUAGGGCCGAUUGGGAGGCAAUAAGACAUCUUGGCUAAAAGGGCAGGCUUUUGAGUCAGAUGACCGUGCUCUCCUGCUGGACCUGCCUCUUACUUAUUUUCUGUGUGACCAUCUCCCUGCCUGAGUUUCUCCAUUUGUAAGAAGGGAUAAUCCAAUAUCCACUAAGAAGCGGGAUGAGGGUUAAUGAAAUGAUGGAGGCAUUGUGCUGGGGGCCCUGCUGACAUGGAGUGAGCACUGUUCUGUUGGGGUAUUAAAGUAAGAGUCAUCUAAUGGUUCUGUCCUCCACGUGAUUUAUUCCAUUUUUCAUGCUUCUUUCCUCCUGUCUUACUGGCAUUGGCUGUCAUCACUAAUGAGCAUGAGCAUUGUGGUCUUGUUCCCACCCAACCCUCUGGUGGGAUCUGUCAGCAGAUGGAGAAGGGUCAGGCUGGCCCUGGGAGGUGCUGGUGAGCCCCCAGCAGCACAUGUCAGGCUGCCCAUUGAUCAUCUUUCCGGUGGUCCUCAGUUGGGGUGAUCUGCUGGGGAGAGACCUCUUAGAUUUUAAUAUUUGCGUAUUUUAACAAAUAUUUGAAAAUUGCUGGUUUUCUAUUUAUGGUGCUAAUGUUUCCUUUUAAAAGGAAUUUAUUUUUCCUUUUUUUAAUUGAAAUAUCCUACACAUACCAUAAAAUUCAGCUUUUGAAGUGUAUAAUUCAGUGGUUUUUAGUAUAUUCAGUGUGUUGGCAAUCAUCACUAUUAUCCAUUUCCAGAACUUGUUCAUCUUCCCAGACAGAAGCAUGGUAUCCAUAAAACAGUAAGUAACUUCUAUCCCGCCCUCCCACUGGUGCCUGGUAACCUUUAUUCUACCAUCUGUCUCUAUGAAUUUGCCUAUUCUAGGUUCCUCAUGUAAGUGGACUCAUAAGACAUUUGUCCUUUUGUGUCCAUCUUAUUCUGGCUAGCGUAAUGUUUUCAACGUUCAUUCAUGUAACAGGACGUCAUUCCUUUGUGAGCCUGCAUAAUAUCCCAUCGUCUGGCUAGACCACAUUUUGUUUAUCCGGUCAUCAGUUGGACACUUGGGAUGUGUCCGAUUUUUUUGGCUAUUAUGAAUAAUGCUGCUAUGAACUUUUUAUUGAACAUGUUUUAAAUUGUCUUUGAUAUGUACCUAGGAGUGGGACCACUUGCUGGGUCUGAUGAUAACUCUCUAACUUUUUGAGGAACUGCCGAACUGUUCCCCAGUGUAGAAGCACUACUUUUCAUUCCCGCCAGUAACUUAGGAGGGUUCCAAUUUCUCCACAUCUUCAACACUUGUUCUCAUCUGGCUUUUUGUGUUUUUUUAUAGAAGCUCUCCGCCCAAUGUGGGGCUUGAACCCAUGACCCGGAGUCACGUGCUCUUCCAACUGAGCUAGCCAGGUGCCUGUCUGGCGUUUUGAUUAUAGCCAUCCUAAUGGGGGUGAAGUAGUAUCUCGUGUCAUUUUGAUUUGCAUUUGUUGUGAAGCACCUUUUCCUGUGCUUGUUGGCCGAGUGUAGAUCUUCUUUGGAGGAGUGUCUAUACUGAGCCUCUGUUCCCUUUUUAGCUGGGUGUUUCUCGUCUCAUUGAAUUUUAAGAGUUCUUUGUAUACUCUGGAUACUAGACACCAAGCGGAUAGAUGAUUUGCAGAUACGUGUUCCCCUCCUGGGGGUUGUGUUUCCACUUUCUUGGUAGUGUUCUUUGACAUAAAUUUAUAUUUUAAAAGUAACUUGAUUUAGGGGCGCCUGGGUGGCUCAGAUGGUUAAGCGUCUGCCUUUGGCUCAGGUCAUGAUCCUGGGGUCCUGGGAUCGAGCCCCACAUCGGGUUCCUGGCUCAGUGGGGAGCCUGCUUCUCCCUCUCCCUCUGCCUCUCUCCCUGCUCAUGCUCUUUCUCUGUAUCUCUGUCUCUCAAGUGAAUAAAUAAAAUCUUAAAAAAAAAAAAAUAAUAACUUGAUUUAAGGGAAAAAAAAAAAAAGGAUUGGCCGUACUCAGAUGUGGCAGAAAAUGUCCAGGUGUUGUAUGAAUGAUUAAGGUGGUGGGGGCAGAGAACAGAGUGUGACCCGAUCCUGCUCUGGUGCGUCCCUUCACUUGCGGUGUCCCCAAGCAUCUCCUGGUGCGUGAGCUGGGAUCAUCUGUCAGUAGAUUGCUUAGAAGUUGCUGUUUUGUCAUUUAAGUUCCAUAGUAGAUAACUGGAUUUAUUCAGCUGUCUUUCCUGCAUCUUUUUAAAUGAGCAUCCAGUUUUUCUCCUUUCAUUUUCUCAUGAUUAAUUGCAUCAUGGAUUAUUAAGCGCUCCUGUGAUUUCUGAGACACACCAUUCCCAGGCCUGGAGCUUUAGUGUGUCAGCGUGGAAAUGAAUCGGAAGGUCCACUUCACCUUCAGGGCGCGGUCAGGCGGGUGUUGGUGUCAGGAUGUCCGGAAAGGCAGAGACGCCGUCUGAGCCCGUCUGAGCCGCAUAUCAGGCGCUCUGCUCAGCAGGGAGUUUGCCUCUCCCUCUCUCCGAUCCUCCUCCGCUUGUGCUCUCUCUCUCUCUGUCUCAAAUAAAUAAAAUCUUUAAAAUAUAUAUCUAUUUUAUUGGCCUUUUCAAAGAAGCAGCUUUAGAUAGAAUAAGCAGUUCUACUGCCUUCAUGUUGUAAUUUGUUAAUUCUGCUGCUUUCCUCAGAUGUUGUUUUGUUUCUCUUUCUGGAGUCCCGCACGGUCAUGCUGAACUGGGCAGGCAGCAGGCAACGCGAAGUAAUGGAGGCUGUCAGUCCUGCGCCAGCCCCGCGGGGCCACCAAACCCAGGGAGGGCCUUUGAGCUCUCCCUUGAAGGGUGCAUGAAGCUGUAAAGAAGAGCAUUCCCAGCUGAGAGAAGGGCAUGAGCAAAGCCUCUGAGCUGUGAGGGGAACUGGCGGGAGCUGGGGGGGAGGGGGUGGGCACGGUGAGGGUUCAGGAUGUGCCCCGCAGGUAUUUGGGGAAAGAGUUUGCUGUCCUUAUUCCCCAUAUGCUUUGUGGUUUCAGUUCUGGUGUAUAAUUUGAACAUAGUUAUUUAAGAGUAUGCUUUAAAACUUCCAAGAUUUGGAAAGGUUUUUGUUUUUGUUUUAACUAUUAUAAUCUAUUUCUGUCUUAAUGAAUGGCUACCCAAGGAAGUGUCCUGUACAGUUUCUGCCUUUUUGAAUCUGUGGCUCACUUUCUUCAUUGCUUAAGGUAUGACUAUUUUUAUAUAUGUUCUGUGGCAUUUGAGAAGGUAUUCUUUGUCCCGUUCCCUAUUUUUGGAUUGGUCCCUCUCAAUGGUUUUUGGUCCAAUCCAGAUCCACUAUAUCCCUCUGUAAUGAGAAGUGAAGAUGUUUUCCCCACCACUUCUGGUUCCCCGUCCAUUCCCCCCACCCCGCGCCCCCAGACUGCUUACCAGUUUUGUUAUGUGUGUUUUGCUGCAGUGUGUGGGGUACAUGGAGACUCCAGAUGGCACGAUCCACUCCUGCAGGGGUGGAGUGCAGGGGUGGAGUGCUUGAUGCUGGCGGGGGCCCAGGAACCUACUCCCCUACCCCGCCCCCAGCCGGACUGUCUUCUGGUUUGCAUUUGAAUGAAGUGCCUGUGUGUUGGGGAAUUUUCAACAGAGUGUUUUUUGACUACCCACCCCUCCAUUUCUGAGGCCUUUUAAGGCCAGAGCUUUGUUGCUUCGUCAGGUUGGGACUUAGAUGGCUGAUUCCUCUCCUGCUGCAGUAAGUAAGUGCCUGUCCUUUGUGGUGUGUUUGGGGGGCUGAAGCCUGAAGGGAGCCUACGAGGGGAAGCUAGGAGGCCGUGGAGUGGGGGGGCAUGAGGGAGGUGGGGGGAGGAGGGAUGGAAGCCUGGAAGCCCCAGACCUUGAGGGUGUGUGUGUGUGUGUGUGUGUGAGAAAUGGGACUGGCUCUGCUUGAGUUCCUCAGGACUAGUAGAGAGGACCCUGUUCUCAGCCUGACCUGAUGCACCUGUGUGACCCUGAACUGGUUUCAGUCCUCUCUGAGCCUCCGCUUCUCAUCUGGACCCUGCUGGGGAGCGGCUACUGAGCUCCUUGGGGCCGACAGGAGGGUCCAGGGGCCCUCCCCUAGUGAGAGGCCAGGCCAGGACUCCUGGACCAGGACCGCAGAGCUUGUGGGGGUGCUCCCACCGGACCCGCCGUGGGCCCGCGGGAGGCAGACCCUAGCCUGGGAGCUGCAGGUGCUGUGGGCAGCAGACUGGGAGGGUGGCCCAGGGCAGGUAAACUGGCCAAGGGUCCAGGGCGGGCUUCCUGUUCCUCCUGUCUCUUGGACCCGUCCUCUCAGGAACUCAGACCCCCGUGGGAGGCAGGUGGGGGCGCUGUGCUUCUGACUUCAUUUUCGGGCAGUGGCAGUUUCCAGGUAGGACCCCACAGCGGGCAGCGGUGGUGAGACGGAGGAUGGGGGGCGAGGCAGCUUGGCCGGCCUGUGUGGCCGCACGCAGCGGGGCACAGCCUACUCCGAGGACCACUGGCGUUUGAGCUGGGCCAGGGUGCUUCAGGUGUCCCCUAGUUCUUAGACUUCCUGUUCCAAUGAAAAACUUGAGAUUUUUGUCUUUAAUUACAAAAGGAAUCUGCAUAGACUUAAAAAUUCAAGCCAUGGAAAAGGUAUAAAGUAAAAUAAAGUCCCUCUCCCAUCACCCAUCUCAGCCCUACUACACUGAGGUGGCCUCUCAAGUUUCUCAGGAUCUUUCUGGAAAUUUCUGUAUCCGUACAAGGACUUGUCACUGCUGACAGUGUCCUAGAGUAAGCAGGACCGUAACUUGUGGUUCCGUGUUCCCUCUGACUUCAUGAGCUCCUGCGGUCGGGAUGUGCACGCAGCACCACAGGAAGCCGUGGCCACGCAGCCAAGGGGACGCUCAAGGGGACGCUCGUCCCCCUGGCUCUGCCUUUGAAAGGGCUACCAGGGGAGGGAGGGUAAGCCUGGGAAGGGGGGAGGCGCGGAGCCGCCGCAGGUGUUUCUUUUACUGGAUGCGGCUUGUGGCCGCAUUCAGGUUUUGCUUUUCACCUUUGAGUCUGUGAGAAAACAAGGAGGAAAAAGCAAAAGGCGCUGGUGGUGGCACGCCCAGCAUUCCGGGCCAGGGUUCGAGUCCCUGUGGCGUCCCUGCUUCCUUCCUUCCUUCCUUCCUUCCUUCCUUCCGGCUCCCAGCUCCAGGCCCCUCCUCCCCCUCCGUGGUCCGGAGAGAGACGUGUGGGGCUCAGGUGCCGCGGGCCUCCCCAGGAGCACGCCCCUCCACGGUCUCCUCCCUCACCCCCUGGAGGACCUGGGGCUGGGCGGUCAAGGGCUCUCGCGGCUGCAGCCCCUCCCCCCUGCCCUGAGCCAUACGCAGAAGAUGAAUUAGUACCUUUGAGAAGAAGAGAGCUUGGGGGCUCUGAACCCCAAGGCUGAGGGGCCCACCUGCAGCGCCCACAUUCCUCAGGGUGUGCUCCCCACCUGGCCGCUUCCGGCUGAGGCUCCCAGGACCAACUCCCCACUGCCCUCCACGUCCGAGGACCAGGAGGAUGGCUCUUCCGGGAGGGCUGAGUGGAUGAGGUCAGAUGGCAGAGCUCUGGGCUGGCAGGUCGGGGUGCAGAGUGGCCCUGGGGGAACAGAAGGGAGGGGCCCACAAACUGACCCAGGGGCAGGAAAUGGGGCAGGAGGGGCCAGAGUGGGCCCUGAGGGGUCUGAGACUGUCCAGGCACCUGGGACCUGGAGGAUGGAUCCCAGGAGACCGCCCCCCCCCCAGGUCAGGACCCAGCCGGGGCAGUGUGCCGUGAUCCUAAGCGAGUUCCCUGCAAGCCCCUAGCAGCUGCCAUCUCUGUCUCUGGGAUUCCUUUGGCCUCUCUCCCAGCUUUGGCCAGCCUCCCCAUCCCUCCCCCACAUCCCCGGAAAGAGGUCAGAGGAUCACAAUCCAGUUCACUGGCCAUGAUACUGAUGCUGUCUGCACCUUGGAACAGGGCUGCCUUGGCUCCAGCCUGAGCCCACGGUUCCCAGGGAACCCCUGCCUAUCACUGCAAUAACCUCUUCCUUCAACAACCCCUGUCUCAUCAGGAACACUGGAAGCAGAAGGGGAGGUGUGCAAAGUUGGCCUGGCAGGCGGGGCCUUCUCCUAGCCAGGCGGGGGGCUCCCCUACCUCUCAGAACCCAGUUAGAAUCCCAGGUCCUGGGCUCAGCCCAAACUCAGGUCACAUGAUAGGACAAGUCCUCUCUGGAGAGCUGGGCUCCUAUGAGCUGGAGGGGACACCAGACCUGGACAAGCCUGAGGGAAAUGCCAUGUGCAGGGCAGAGGGAGGGGAUCAGGAUACACAGAGGGGCAGGAAGCUGGUCAGCUUUGGUUGAGAGAAUAUCUUUUUUGUUGUUGUUAGAGCACAAGCAGGGGGAGUGACAGAGGGAGAGGGAGAGGCAGGCUCCCCGCUGAGCAAGGACUCAAUCCCAGCACCCUGGGAUCAUGACCUGAGCCGAAGGCAGGCACUUAACCGACUGAGCCACACAGGUGUCCCAACAGAACAUCUUAAGGGACCUUGGGGGUCAGGGGGCGCCUGGCCAGCUCAGUUGGUGGAGUGUGCGACUCUUGAUUUCAGGGUUGUAAGUUCGAGCCCCACAGUGAAUUUAUUUAAAAAAAAAUUUUUUUUAAGAUUUUAUUUUUAAGUAAUCUCUACACCCAACAUGGGGCUGAAACUCACAAACCCUGAGAUCAAGAGUCAAACUCUCUACCAACUGAGCUAGGCAGGUGCCCCCCAAAAAAAUCUCUUAAAAAAAUAAGGGACCCAGGGGCGCUCAGGUGGCUCAGUUGUUAGGCAUCUGCCUUCCGCUCAGGUCAUGAUCCCAAGGUCCUGGGAUCGAGCCCCACAUCAGGCUCCCUCUCCCACUCCCCCUUCUUGUGUUCCCUCUCUUGCUGUGUCUCUCUCUGUCAAAUAAAUAAAAUAAAAAUCUUAAAAAAAAAAAAAAGACUUAAAAAAAUAAGGGACCUUGGCUUGGGCCCUCCUAAAGGAGAGUGAUGGCCGGUUUGCCAUCAUCUGCAGUCCCUCAGCCCCUUGGCAAGUUUUGGUGACAGAAAAUUGCCCUCUGGAUCUGGUGUUCCUGGUGUAGGCAGUGAGAGGAAACAGCAGGAGGCCUGUGGGUGGCCUGUGUGUGUCCUGAGCAGCCAGGCCUGGGCACUAAGGUCACGAUGUCCACCAAGGUGUCUGUCUAUGUGAAAUGCAGCAGCCACAUGGGCCAGAAGCAGCUUCGGGACCUGUUGUCCUUGGACAUGAUCAACCCCACUGCUAGGGACUGACAGGCGUAUUAUGCUCGUGCAUAAGCAAAGGCAGGAAGCCCAGGAGUGAAUGACAGAGAGGAGCCAACAUGUGGCAAAGAGCAUGGACCUGAGUCUAUGCUCUGAGUCUGAUCUAGCCUGUUUGAGACUCAGUUUCCCCAUCUCUAAAAUGGAGUCAAGGGUACCUGCCUUGCAGGGUUGUGGGGAGAAUUAGGGACGUUUAUGAACUGCCACAUGGAAGGUACUCAAAAGUGGCUAUGGACACAAAGGACUCGGGGCUCGGGAGAGGCAGGACUGUGAAAACAGGUUGGAGUCAGCUGGGAACAGCUUUGCUUACAAGGCUGAGCAGAGGCAAUGGGGAGCUGCAGAAGGAUUUUAAGCAGGAGAGACACGUGGUCAGAUCCAGGUUUUAGGAGGGUCACCACCCGGGCCAAGGGACGAUGGACUGAAGGUCAGAGAGGAAGAAGCCAUUGCAGGAUGAGGAGGCCUGGACGGGGCAGGGACAGUGGGGACAGAGGAGGGGAGAGUGCCAAGGUGGGGCUUGUGUCCAACUGGUACAGACCACGCAGGUGGCUGGGGACAGGUUCAAGCCUCGGUUGUUCCCUUCUUCCAUUCUCCGCUGGUUCUUCUCCAUCCUCCUGACCCUGCGGAUCCCAGACUCCCAGCCCGCCCCCAGCCUCUCCUGCCUCCAUUCCCUGUGUCAGAUUUCAGAGUGGGGGCUGAAUUUGACCCCAAGGCAUUUUGCUUGGCCUUCUGGACUUUUUUUAAUGUUCAAAAAAAAUUUUAUUGUGGGGGCGCCCGGGUGGCUCAUUCGGUUAGGUGUCCAACUCUUGGUUUCUGCCCAGGUCAUGAUCUCAGAGUCUCCCUCUGCCCCGCCCCCCUGCUCUCUCUCAAAUAAAUCUUGAAAAAAAUUUAUUGUGGACACACACACACACACACAAUGUAAAACUUGCCAUUUAACCAUUUUAAGUGUCUAAUUCCAUGGCAUUAAUUACAUUCACAAUGUUGUGCAACCAUCACCGCUGUUUCCAGAUCCCUUUUAUCACCCCACAGCAGAAACCAUAUCCAUUAAGCAGCUGCUCCCAUUUCCCCCUCCCCACAGCCCCUGGUAUCCUCUAAUCUACUUCCUGUUUCUAUGACUGCCAAUUUUAGGUAUUUCAUGUAAGUAGAAUCUAAAAUAAUUGUCCCAUGAAACUAAAAUAACACUGGGCGCCUGGGUGGGUCAGUCGUUAAGCGUCUGCCUUCCAUUCAGGUCAUGAUCCUGGAGUCCGGAGAUCGAGUCCCACAUCAGGCUCCCUGCUCGGCAGGAAGCCUGCUUCUCCCUCUCCCACUUCCCCUGCUUGUGUUCCUGCUGUCGCUAUCUCUCUGUCAAAUAAAAAAAAAAAAAAAAAAGAAA